GAUGAACGCUGGCGGCGUGCCUAAUACAUGCAAGUCGAGCGAACGGACGAGAAGCUUGCUUUUCUGAUGUUAGCGGCGGACGGGUGAGUAACACGUGGAUAACCUACCUAUAAGACUGGGAUAACUUCGGGAAACCGGAGCUAAUACCGGAUAAUAUUUUGAACCGCAUGGUUCAAAAGUGAAAGACGGUCUUGCUGUCACUUAUAGAUGGAUCCGCGCUGCAUUAGCUAGUUGGUAAGGUAACGGCUUACCAAGGCAACGAUGCAUAGCCGACCUGAGAGGGUGAUCGGCCACACUGGAACUGAGACACGGUCCAGACUCCUACGGGAGGCAGCAGUAGGGAAUCUUCCGCAAUGGGCGAAAGCCUGACGGAGCAACGCCGCGUGAGUGAUGAUGGUCUUCGGAUCGUAAAACUCUGUUAUUAGGGAAGAACAUAUGUGUAAGUAACUGUGCACAUCUUGACGGUACCUAAUCAGAAAGCCACGGCUAACUACGUG
rnacentral:rRNA from 1 species